rnacentral:misc_RNA from 1 species
UCAAACUUGGUCAUUUAGAGGAAGUAAAAGUCGUAACAAGGUCUCCGUUGGUGAACCAGCGGAGGGAUCAUUACCGAGUUUACCAACUCCCAAACCCCAUGUGAACGUACCCUCUUCCGUUGCUUCGGCGGUGCCGCCCCGGGCGCGGGCCUCUCGUAGGCCGCCAGCCCCGGACACAGGCGCCCGCCGGAGGACCCCCAAAACUCCUUUGUAUUUUACCUAGCUUCUCCCUCUGAGCCCUUCACGCUCCCACGAGCGGAAGGAAAAACGAAAAUGAAUCAAAACUUUCAACAACGGAUCUCUUGGCUCUGGCAUCGAUGAAGAACGCAGC